rnacentral:tRNA from 1 species
GGAGAGGUGGCUGAGCGGCCGAAAGCGACAGGUUGCUAACCUGUUAUAUGGCCUUAAAACCGUAUCGAGGGUUCGAAUCCCUCCCUCUCCG